rnacentral:misc_RNA from 1 species
CCUGCGGAAGGAUCAUUAUCGAAUGACGCCGCCCGAGCUGUGCGAUCUCGCACGUGAGGGCGUGUUCAUCAUCCUCACACCUGUGCACCUUCGGGUCGUCAUGGCCCGCCUUUUUUCAUACCAACUCGUCUGCGAAUGUACAGUCUGUAUAUGUAUAUUAUACAAAUCACAACUUUCAACAACGGAUCUCUUGGCUCUCGCAUCGAUGAAGAACGCAGCGAAAUGCGAUAAGUAAUGUGAAUUGCAGAAUUCAGUGAAUCAUCGAAUCUUUGAACGCACCUUGCGCUCCUUGGUAUUCCAUGGAGCAUGCCUGUUUGAGUGUCACGUGAACACAUCACCUCCCCUCGGGGAUGCGUGGACUUGGACGUCUGCCGAUGCAAGUCGGCUCGUCUCGAAAUGCAUUAGCCUGCAGAGUGCUUCGCUGGGCCUUUGGCGUGAUAGUCACAUUUCGCCAUGGUCCGCGAUGUUUUCGACUCUGGGCUCAUAAUACUUGGAACCCGUCUGCGGGGACCAUCUUUUUACGCUCUGGCCUCAAAUCAGGUAGGACUACCCGCUGAACUUAAGCAUAUCAAUAAGCGGAGGAAAAGAAACUAACAAGGAUUCCCCUAGUAACGGCGAGUGAAGCGGGAAAAGCUCAAAUUUGAA